rnacentral:tRNA from 1 species
GCCAUCCUAGCUCAACGGUAGAGCAAACGCUUCGUAAGCGUUAGGUUAUGGGUUCGAAUCCCAUGGAUGGCU